GAUGAACGCUGACAGAAUGCUUAACACAUGCAAGUCAACUUGAACUUCGGUUUGGGUGGCGGACGGGUGAGUAACGCGUAAAGAACUUGCCUCACAGAUAGGGACAACAUUUGGAAACGAAUGCUAAUACCUGAUAUUAUGAUUAUAUGGCAUCGUAUAAUUAUGAAAGCUAUAUGCGCUGUGGGAGAGCUUUGCGUCCCAUUAGCUAGUGGGAGAGGUAACGGCUCACCAAGGCGAGGAUGGGUAGCCGGCCUGAGAGGGUGAUCGGCCACAAGGGGACUGAGACACGGCCCUUACUCCUACGGGGGGAAGAGGUGGGGAAUAUUGGACAAGGGACCAAGAGUCUGAUCCAGCAAUUCUGUGUGCACGAUGAAGUUUUUCGGAAUGUAAAGUGCUUUCAGUUGGGAAGAAAAAAAUGACGGUACCAACAGAAGAAGUGACGGCUAAAUACGUG
rnacentral:rRNA from 1 species